rnacentral:lncRNA from 1 species
GUAACACCCUAGGGCAUAUCCACCUACAUUUUCCUUAAGACUACAUGUAAGUAAUAUUGUAUAUGUCUCUAUUUUAAAAACGUUUUUGAGCAGUUUUAGGUUCACUCAAAAAUUUAAGAUAUAGGGGUUUCUUGUACAUCCUCUCUGCCAACACAUGCAUAACCUACUCCACUACCAAGAUACCCCACCAGAGUGUGUACAUUUGUUGCAGCUGAUGAAUCUACACUGACACAUCAUUACCAACCAAAGUCCAUGGUUUAUAUUACAGUAUUUUCUGGUGUCAAAUGUUCUAUGGGUUUGGACAAAUGUACAGUGACAUGAGUCCACCUUACAGUGUCACAGAGAGCAUUUUUACUGCCCUGACAAACUACUGUAAAACACACUGUUUUAUAAUAUGCUUUUUUCAGUUGACUGCCUUUGUCAAUACGUUGUAUUUCACCUAAUACUUGAAACAUGAUAAAUUAUUUCCACAUGUCUCAAUUAUGUUUCGAACAGCUGGUUUGUCCAAAUCAGUAUCAAAUCCAGAACCACACAAUUACUUGUGUUUCAAUCAUUUUUUAUUUGUGUUUUGAACAGAUCUAUUUCAGCCUAAUUUAUAUAAAAUAAAAUGCAAAGGUCUUAAGUGUGCAGUUCAGGGAGCUUUGACUCUUCUGUAAGCCUAGAAAACCAUUGUGAAAAUGAAGAUAUAGAAUAUUUCAUCACCUUCAAAGUUUCUGCGUGCCCCAUUUCAGUCUAUUUAAACUCCAAAAGCAACUGCUCUUCUUUUGUCUAGCACUAUAAAUUAGUUUUGAUUGUCCUUGAACUUUAUGUAAAUAGAGUGAUUUGGUAUUUAUUCCAAUGAGUCUGGAUUCUUUCACUAAAUAUAAGGUUUUUGAAAUACAUCCAUGUUGUGUGAAGCAACAGUCCAUCAUUUUUAUUGCUAAGUAGAAAUACCGUGCAUCAAUAUGCCAUGAUUAAUUUAUCCAUUCUCUUGUGGUGGGGGGUUCAGUAAUGGCCCCUCCAAUUCUGUGACACUCCUCCCACUGAGAAGUGAGGUCUAAGUCUCCAUCCUUGAAUCUGAGUUCUGUAUUCCUUGACAAUAGAAACUGGUAGCUUCUACUUCCUGUUUCUUGGAACACUUGCUCUGGGAACACACCCACCAUACUGUGAAGAAGCCCACGCAGCAGUGUGGAGAGGCCCAGGCAGAGGGAUACUGUAGGCCUCCAGCAGGAUUCCAUUAUUUAAAAAAAUUGGUUCUUUUUUUUUUUUCCAAUUUGAUAAUUUGAAUUUUAAGUUUACAGACCCCCAUAAAAUCCGCCAUCUCUAAACUCAUUCCAGUUAUCAUUUUCUUUCAAUUCUUUCACCUAUUUAGAACACUUGUUUGAAAGUAUUUGUAGAUUUCAGUCGCAGAGGCAUUAGUAAAUCUGUCUUUACUGAAUUUCCUUCUAUCGCUGAUGGAUCAAUUUACCGGCAUCUUUACAUGUGUCUUAUAACCUUUCAUUGUAUACCAGUCAUCAGAAAGCAGUCAAAAGGGAAAUAUGCUUUUUCUUUCUUCUUUUCUUUAUUCGUAGAGAGUAUAAGGACUUUCUUCAGCCCCGCAGGAAGUGCAGGGUCUGUCCUUUCAGAUUCCACUUCCUUGGAUUUGGGUCAGAGCUGGAUGACAGCUGCAGUUAGUUUUAGUUUAUAGAUAAUUCUAAAUUAUGAUUUAGGAGAUCCCUCUUUGUCCUUCAGCUCAAUCUCCAACNAUUAUUUGUUAUUAAUUAAUUAUUUUUAAUUGCAUUUUUAAUCGAGGUAAGGUUCUCUAUAAAUUUACAUUUGCAUAUAGCAUUGUUUUAACAUCGUGUGUUUCGUGCGUACAACAUUAUAGUUCUACCUCAGUUUAUACUACAGUGUGAUCACCACCAAAAAUUUAGUUUCCAUCCGUUAUCAUGCAGUUUGUUCCCGUUACCCGUUUCGCCCUCCCUGCCCUUCCCCUCUGGUAACCACUACUCUGUGUAGUUUUUAUUUUUAUUUUUUUGCUUGGUUUGUUCAUUUCUUUUUUAAGCAUUUUAAUGUUUUGGUUUUUUAUAGUGAAAUCAUAUGGUAUUUGUCUUUCUCCAUUUUACAUAUUUCACUUAACAUCAUACCUUUGAAAUCCAUUUAUGUUGUCACAGAUGGCAAAACCUUAUCUUUUUUUAUGGCUGAGGAGUAUUCCAUUGCCUCUGUGUGUGUGUGUGUGUGUGUGUGUAAAUAUAUAUCACACCUUUGUCCAUUCGUUCAUUAAUGGACACUUAGGUUGUAUGUAUGACCCAAGACCAUAAAACUCCUAGAAGAAAACAUAGAUGCUCUUUGACAUAGGUCUUAGCAAUGUUUUUUUGCAUAUGUCUCCUCUGUCCAGGGAAACAAAAGCAAAAAUAAACGAGACCUCAUCAAAUCAAGAAGCUUCUGCACAGUAAAGGAAACGAUGAACAAAAUGAAAAAACUGCCUAGUAAAUGGGAGAAGGUAUUUGCAAGUCGUAUAUAAGGGGUUAAUAUCCAAAAUAUAAAAAGAACUCAAAUAACACAAUAGCACAAAACCAAACAACCCAAUUAAAAAAAGGGCAGAGGAGCUGAAUAAACACUUUACCAAAGAAAACUUACAGAUGGCCAAUAGGCAUGUGAAAAGAUAUUCAACAUGACUAAUUUUAAGGGAAAUGCAAGUCAAAGUCACCAUGAGUCAUCACCUCACACGCCUGAGAAUGGCUACCAUAGAAAAGGCAAGAAAUAUUGCCUUGUGGCACAGUGGGUUAAGGAUGUGGUGUUGUCACUGCAGUGGCUUGUGUCUCUGCUGUGGGGUGGCUUUGAUCCCUGGCUGGGGAAAUUGGUGCAUCCACCAUGGAAAACAGUAUGGAGAGUCCUUAAAAAAAUGAAAGAUAGAACUAUCAUAUGAUCCAGCUAUUCCACUUCUGGGUAUUUAUCCAAAGAAUGGGAAAACACCAGUUUGAUAAGAUUUGUGCGCCCCUAUGUUCAUCACGGCAUUAUUUACAAUAGUCAAGUUAAGGAAACCCUCAGUGUUCUUUCCUACUCUUGCUACAACUAAGGACCAAAUCAUUCCUUUUGAUCUUCCUGAGUUUGAACUUGAAAGGGUUUGCUUUUUAGCUUAGUUGGUUAUGAUUUACUUAUGGAUUCAGGUUUUGCAGGGCCCUGGGAUCUGAGCACCGUAAGAUGGCAGUUACGGUGUUCUUGUAAUACUUCCGCUCCAUUCUCAGAAAAAUUCCCAGGGGGUAGGCUUUUUUUUUUUUUUUGUAUUUGAGCUAUUGUAAGUUCUACUUUCUUUUGCCUGCCCUCACUGUUAUAACCUGGCUGAUUUCUCUUAAUCCCUCCCCCCUCUAUCUAUGGCAAGUUUGCUUGUAAUUUGCAAACUCAGAUUGGAAUUUACUGCUAAGUGUGGAAGCAUCUGUAGCUCUUUGCUUGUCUCUCUCUGGAACAUAGCUCAUUAAGCUUCUUUGCUAUUUUGCCACUGCUCUUUGAUAGCUUUAAAGAAAAGCAGCUUUUUUUCCCCUUGUUGUUACCAUGGGGAUGAUGGUCUUUUGCAUCAUUCUGCAUCCUAAUCAGAAACAGAACUCCCUCAGCAACUUUAAAGCAUUUAUUAUUUUCCGAUUAUAAAUGUUGGGAUCAGUUCUGUGAUUUAUAAGGUUUGUUAUUAUAGGAUUCCUUUACAUAUUAAGCAGACGGUAGAAGGGUAUUGGGCAUAUAAUUGGAAUUUCUGAAUCACCAAAUCUACUAUGUAUUAGUUUUCAGAUUCUCUGCAUGUUUUCCACAAGGGGGAAAGUGAUUGACAGAGAGUUACCAACAGACACAGGUAAAGGACACAGAUCCCUUAAUGUAGGUAAAGAAUAAAGGAUUUAAUGGCACGGGUGAUGGUUGUUGCAAGUUGGAGAGUCAGGAGUACUCUCCCCUUUGGAGGGGUGGUUUCCGCGGCUUUAGAUACCUGGAUCAGUGCUUCUCAGACACAUACACAUACACAUACACAGCCUGCAGGUGGAGAGGUGCUCCACAGGCAGGCAGUUUUUUUCAGGAAGCUCAACCUGGGUCCGAGAGGAUCAUUCUGUCCCUCUGACCUUUAUGUUCCUGUACAGAGAAGCACCUGUCAUUCUAAAUCUGGGUUAUGUGCUUCCUCGCUGCUGUGAGGAAUGGCGUAAAAGUUUAAGUGAACCCUGUUUGCUGUCUUAGGGAUGUUACAUCCAUCUUUUAUCACUUGGGGUGCAUUUCAGUCCUAACACAUAUCUGGGAACCUAUAGCAGGUUGUACAGAAUCAGAGACUGCUUUUACCACUCCUGAGAUCUGAUCAUCCCACACAGAAAUGGGCUGAAGGCCUUUCUUAAGUCUAUCUUGACAUAUGAGUAAGAAAUUUACACUCUCUUAACAUCUAAUUGUAUGUAUUAAAUAUGUGCAAUUUUUUUGUAGAUUUAAUUAUACCCCAUAACGCUAUAAAAAAUUAACUCUAUCAACAUCAGAUUUCUUACAAAUGAAAUGGACUUGGUAAUAAUACUGAACUUGCUGCUAGUGAGAGUAAAAAUGAUAGUUGAAUUGCCUUGAAAAAUGUAGAGUCCUAAGUAUUUUGAGAUGUAAGGAGAUUUCAUUGGGCUUUGGGAUUCUGAAGUGAUACAGUGAUUGUAUGACCCAUGUGCAAACCCCAUCAUGUAAAAGGUUUUAGGAGAUUGUAUUAACAGAUUUGGCUAUUUCAGGUUCUGGGAUGUAGUGGGCAGUUCCUCUCUAUUCACAAGAAGACUGUAUAAGGGAUGUAGGAACAAAUGCAAAAAAAGAAAGGGGAGAAAUUUGAUCUGGUCCAGAUUCAGCCAAAGUUUUUGAUGUUUAAGGUGUUUUAUUUCAUGUUUUAAGAAGUUUUGAAACUGUGGAAAGAUUUUAAGAGAGGAGUUUUAUAUUCUUUAUUUUUUCUGAGACUGUGUUCUUCUCAUUUGUCUCGCACCUGUGCCAUAUCUAUACUUUCUGCAUCUUUCAGUAAAAACAUUUUAGAGCUAAGUCAUCUAUGUUUAAAUUAUAUUUAAUAUUGACAAAUGUUUGAUGUUGGUAUUUCUUGGGAUUUGUACAUUUAUGCAUCUAUAAACCAUCUCCAAAAGUCAUUAUUUUGUAAAGUUGCACUGAAAUGCAUUGACUUUGAAAGAAGGCAUACAAAUGGCCAACAGGCAUAUAAAAAGGUGCUCAACAUGACCAGUCAUCAGGGUGCUGCAAAUCAAAACCACAAUGAGAUGUCACCUCACACCUGUCAGGAUGGCUAUUAUUGAAAAAAAAAAAAAA